rnacentral:lncRNA from 1 species
UUCUGCUUCAGUCUCCAGAGCUUCUGGAAUCACAUGUUUGCAUGACCAAGACUGGCACAUAGCCUUGACGAGUCCUGGAGGCUGACUGUCCACUAGGCACAGUGAGGGCCUGCUUCCUACAAAGGCGGUUCCUUGUUGGUUCUAAUGGGCUCCAGGAUAGAUAGUAAGAGGAUCACAGCUGCAAGAGACUGCAGAGGAGGACCCAGGAACUCCAAGCUUCUGAUAUCUAUUCCUACAGCAAACAGUCCUCACACUAGAGACUUCAGCACCUUAGUUUCUACUCCACACAUAGCCAGUGACUCAAAAUGGUUAGAAGCAUUCUAAAAGAGACUUCUCCGUCGAACUCUUCAUUUCAGAACUGGAGAUCUUGGGAGAAGACACUUGGUUUAUGUGAAAGCAAAACGACCGGUUGUUUUCCAACGCGGUUGCGGCUGCGAGCCCAGGCCAAAACUACGAGUCCCAGGCUGCCCCGCGGCCG